rnacentral:rRNA from 1 species
CGCUGGCGGCGUGCUACUAGCGUGCCAAGUCGAACGAGUUUGCUUUUAACUAAAGGUGCGUGUGCUUGCACCAACUGAUUUACAAGAAGUAAACGAUGUGGCGGACGGGUGAGUAACACGUGGGUAACCUACCCUAAAGUGGGGGAUAACAUUUGGAAACAGAUGCUAAUAGCCUGCAUAAUAUUAAAAACCACAUGGUUUUUAAUUGAAAGACGUGCGUAAGCUGUCACUUUUGGAUGGACCCGCGGCGUAUUAGCUAGUUGGUGAGGCAACGGCUCACCAAGGCGAUGAUACGUAGCCGACCUGAGAGGGUGAUCGGCCACAUUGGGGACUGAGACCACGGCCCAAACUCCUACGGGAGGCAGCAGUAGGGAAUCUUCCACAAUGGACGAAAGUCUCGAUGGAGCCAACGCCGCCGUGAGUGAAGAAGGUUUUCGGAUCGUAAAAACUCUGUUAUUGGAGAACGAACGUAGUUUGGUAGUAACUUGGCCCAAGAUAGUUGACGGUAUUCCAAUCAGACAAGCCAACGGCCUUAACUACGUGCCAGCAGACGCGGGUACAUACGUCAGGUUGGACAAGCCGGUUGUCCGGAUUUAACUUGGGCCGUAAAGCCGAGUGC